GCAGAGCUUCUGGAUGUCUCACAGUUUCGAUUUACUUACGGUUAAUUAAAUUUCCAGCUAUGCUAACGAUCCGAAUUUUUUCAUACCACAUCUGUGUUUGAAUUUUCUGAGAAAACAAAAGCAUCACGCCUGCGCGCGCGAAGCAUUAUGGGACAAACGUGGAGCGCGAUGUUGAACUGUGAUCGACUGACACUAGACACGUUUUCUUUCAACGAUUAUCGCAUUUGACUGUUCAAAUAUCGAUGACACAGAGAAAUUUGAAUACUGGAUGUAUUCUCAAGCAGUCUAAUCGCCAUCACGGAAGUCAUGUACAAGAAUCUAUCCAACAAAACUGCACUCUCGACCAACGGUGCCAGCAUCGAUCUGAGGGAACCAAACACCACGACCUGUUCCCAGCGAUCUAGCAGCUCCUCUGUUUUAGGAUUUCUGAUUUCCUCUAUCCUCCGUGGCCGAUUCUCUUCGGUAAAAUUUUCUGUGACUGCCAUGCAGUACCUGAAAUAUACUAAAAUUACAAACCUGGCUUGUUCCGACAGCAAGGACUGCUGCUCGACGCAAAUUACACACAUCUCGUGUCGAUAAGCGAGCGUCCUAGCGAGGUGGCCAAUUCCAGCUCCAACGUCGACGGCGCAUUCUGAUUUCGCCGAAGCAGCGCAAUCCGCUAUUAUCUGAAAAUUUAACACCACUUUAGAGUUUACAACGUCGAUUCUCGGCAAAUUAAGCGGCACAAAAAUGGAUAAAAACUAACCACGAUGUAGGCGUCCACAAGCCAUCGGUAUUUGUCAAGAACAAGAAAUAUUUGGCGUAUGGUUUCUCGCACGGCGUCGCAA